rnacentral:rRNA from 1 species
GAGUUUGAUCAUGGCUCAGGACGAACGCUGGCGGCGUGCCUAACACAUGCAAGUCGAGCGAGGAGAUUCCCUUCGGGGAUGAACCUAGCGGCGGACGGGUGAGUAACACGUGGGCAACCUGCCUUAUAGAGGGGAAUAGCCUUCCGAAAGGAAGAUUAAUACCGCAUAACAUUACAUUUUCGCAUGAAGAAGUAAUUAAAGGAGUAAUCCGCUAUAAGAUGGGCCCGCGGCGCAUUAGCUAGUUGGUGAGGUAACGGCUCACCAAGGCGACGAUGCGUAGCCGACCUGAGAGGGUGAUCGGCCACAUUGGGACUGAGACACGGCCCAGACUCCUACGGGAGGCAGCAGUGGGGAAUAUUGCACAGUGGGGGAAACCCUGAUGCAGCAACGCCGCGUGAGUGAUGAAGGUCUUCGGAUCGUAAAGCUCUGUCUUCAGGGACGAUAAUGACGGUACCUGAGGAGGAAGCCACGGCUAACUACGUGCCAGCAGCCGCGGUAAUACGUAGGUGGCGAGCGUUGUCCGGAUUUACUGGGCGUAAAGGGAGCGUAGGCGGAUUUUUAAGUGAGAUGUGAAAUACCCGGGCUCAACUUGGGUGCUGCAUUUCAAACUGGAAGUCUAGAGUGCAGGAGAGGAGAGUGGAAUUCCUAGUGUAGCGGUGA